GUUUAUGUAGGCCUAUCGGGGGGGGAUGGGGGGACCUGUGUGUUUUGUUUUUUGUUUUUUUGUAAAGCGCUUUGUGCUACAUUUCUUUUGUAUGAAAAGUGCUCUAUAAAUAAAAGUUUGAUUGAUGGAUUGAUAACCAUGCCGACUUUUUAUGGGUGCUCGCUCAUGUGUGACUGGAUAUGCAACGUUUUCUUUUUGCAUUUGUUUUCAUUUAUGCAGCGCGUCUGUAUAUGCAACGUUUUCUUGUUGCAGCGCGUUUCUGUUCAUGCAACACAUUCAUGUAUUUGCAGCUCGUUUGUGUAUAUUGUACAUUUGCCCCUGUCAGCCACCGUAGUAAAUGCAUGUUUUGUGUUCUUCGUCAGUAUAGCUGUUGCAAACUCAUGUAGGAGUAAUUAAUGAUGCAGUUAUUGGAUAUAGGUCACUUUUAUAAGUAGAUGUAAACAGGCGGUACAAAAAAUCAGAUAUAUACAUCAAGUCAGUAUUAGGCAAAAAGACCUGCAGUGUAAAUGAGGCCUAGAAAUGUAUGUAGAAAUUAAGUUUUUUUCACAUUUUAACUGUAAGCAAAGAUAAAUUAAUUUGAAAUAAAGUUCAUGUACUAUAAUUCAAACACAUAACACAAUUUUAUAUCUUUUUCAGAUGCACCAUUCAAUUUUUAAGUCAGUCAGAAAGCCUGCAGUAGAACGCUGCACAACAUGCUGCAUUUUUUUUCACUGCCCCCUUUGCCCCAAAGGCAUGUUUAAACCAAGCAUCCCGUCGAAGCUUCAGCGACAUUUGGAGGUCCACCUAAAAAUGCCAUUACAUUUGAAGAUAAGAAGAUCUGGACAGAUACAUCAAAAGCCCUCCUGCAAGGUGAGGUGUCACCAGUGUUUAGGCUGAAGAAAAGAAGGGUGGAUGACAUUACUAUGGAAGAAGAGCAGCAAGCUGAGGUUUCAGUCAGACCUGCUGAUGUGAGCACACCAGUGGAAGGGGUAGGCUAUUCUCACAGUAUCUAUUGGUCAGAUAUUGUUGGUGCAGCAGUUAUGGUACAGAAAGACAUUUUUUUAUUUCUGUCUUUUCUAUACGACUCGGUUGAAGUGCGUAUUCCGCAUGA